rnacentral:lncRNA from 1 species
UGCCUUUACUGCAACCAAAGACAACACUUUGAAAUUUCUUUCAAUGGAUUUUUUUUGUACUUGAGAGAUUGUACUGGGAGAAUAGAAUAUUUCUAUUAGUUGAAUAUUCUCCAAUGCCUCAGUCCCAGCCCCCUCACCUUUGAGAACGUGUUCAAAGAGGCUCUAGUGUAUUUGUGUGUGUCUGACAAAGCAGAAGCAAAGAGUAGGCGCUCCACUCGGGAUAAUGUAAAAGUUUGUCUCAGCCAAAGCAUUCUGAAAUCCAACACCAUCUCAGAAUCCUGGAUCGCUCACAGCUGGCACCAGAGAGACCCGGCCAAGCCCUGCCCCGCACCAGGCAAGUACUGCUUCUCACCCCACCCCCUUAAACUCUGUGUUGCUAAUGGGGGGGGCAAAAAGGGCUGCAUCCUCUAUCUCUAUUUCCUUAGAAUGCCGCUGCCUUCCGAUCGUAGAAGGAUUGUAGAGGGAACUUUUUUUAUUUUUUUUUUCUUUUGAUACCAAUUCGGGUUGCUCUUGUCUCGGGUCAGUGUCUGGGGAGUCUGAAUGGUGGGGGACUGACUCAGUUAUACAGUAUUUUUACUGCUUUCAGUCUGUGUAAUUUAAUGGGUAUUAAAGUAAAGCUCCACAUAUCGGUCCUCUAGAUGUGAGAGUGUUACGGUAGCAUCUGUCCAGAUUCAAAACACGCACACAGAUACAGACACACACCCUAUACAACAUCUGUUGAUGCAUUAUACACGUAGAGCCAUACGUUUUGCUAUACAUACAGAUGCAAUGAAGAUAUAAACUUCUACUAAUUUACUGAGCAGGAUUUGCAGUGGUGACUAUGAGGGUGCCAGGUCGUCAGCAAAGAAGGAUAAACAGGAGAAUGCUCUGUUCAGUCACCUGUCCUGUUUGUUAUGUGACCACCUAAUGGAAGAGAUCGAUGGUAGCUUGCUUUUAUCUGGGUGAUAGUGUCAACAGAUUAAAAGAACUUCUAUCAGACCCACCCCAGGAACUGAGAAAAGAGCUGCAAUGAGCAGUGGGGGAGAGAAACUCAGACUAUCCUGUGUCAGAGCCAGAAGCCCCUUCUACAUUCUUCCUUUGUUGAAGUUGUAAUGAAGGGUGGGAAGGUUGAAAGGGAUAUUAAA